GGUGGCUCAGUGGUUGAGCAUUUGCCUUGCAUGCAUAAGGCCCUGGGUUCGAUUCCUCAGCACCA
rfam:Dipodomys ordii contig_34730, whole genome shotgun sequence.